rnacentral:rRNA from 1 species
GACGAACGCUGGCGGCGUGCUUAACACAUGCAAGUCGAACGGAAAGGCCCUGCUUUUGUGGGGUGCUCGAGUGGCGAACGGGUGAGUAACACGUGAGUAACCUGCCCUUGACUUUGGGAUAACUUCAGGAAACUGGGGCUAAUACCGGAUAGGAGCUCCUGCUGCAUGGUGGGGGUUGGAAAGUUUCGGCGGUUGGGGAUGGACUCGCGGCUUAUCAGCUUGUUGGUGGGGUAGUGGCUUACCAAGGCUUUGACGGGUAGCCGGCCUGAGAGGGUGACCGGCCACAUGGGGACGGAGAUACGGCCCAGACUCCUACGGGAGGCAGGAGUGGGGAAUAUUGCACAAGGGGCGGAAGCAUGAUGCAGCAACGCCGCGUGGGGGAUGACGGCAUUCGGGUUGUAAAACGCUUUCGCCUGUGACGAAGCGUGAGUGACGGUAAUGGGUAAAGAAGCACCGGCUAACUACGU